GACGAACGCUGGCGGCGUGCUUAACACAUGCAAGUCGAACGAAGUGGCGAACGGGUGAGUAACGCGUAAUCAACCUGCCCUUCAGAGGGGGACAACAGUUGGAAACGACUGCUAAUACCGCAUACUGAAGGAGGGGAAUGAGUGUGGUUAGCUGGGUGGAUGGGUAACGGCCCACCAAGGCGAUGAUCAGUAGCCGGUCUGGGGGGAUGAACGGGCACAAUGGGACUGGGGCACGGGCCAGACUCCUACGGGAGGCAGCAGGGGGGAAUCUUCCGAAAUGGACGAAAGUCUGACGGUGCAACGCCGCGGGAGUGAUGACGGCCUUCGGGUUGUAAAGCUCUGUUAAUCGGGACGCGGUACCGGAAUAGAAAGCCACGGCUAACUACGUGCCAGCAGCCGCGGUAAUUC
rnacentral:rRNA from 1 species